AUUCUCCCGCCGAUCGGCGCCGCGAAACUGAGCCGCUUCUAUAAGGCAGCCCGCAGCCAACCUGCCAGCGCUUACUGACACUCACUCAUCUCAGAGAGAGAGGGAGAGAGGGAGGCAAAAUACCCACCGGCAGGAGGAGAAAAAAAAAAAAAAAAAAAAAAAAAAGAGAGAGAGAGAGAGGAGAGGGGGAAGUCUCCGGGCUUUGCAAACUAUUCGUUUUUUUUUUUUUUUUUUCUUCGCAUCUUUCCCCACCCCCCAACAAAAAAAAAAAAAAAAAAAAAAAAAAAAAAAAAAAAAAGGAAUCUUCUUCACUCUAAAUCACUUUCUUUGCUGGACUGGGAUAUUAAAUAUACGACACAUCCAGGAGUUUAUUGGAGCGCAGACUGAUGGCGCAAAGGGACAAGGGGAAUUGCUACUAAAUAAUGUUUCUGGUAACUUUCAGAUUAUUUCCCCCUUUAUCUUCCCCCCCCCCUUCCGAUGCACCCCACCUUUCCCCUCUCCUUCCCCGUGAUGAUUUAUUUAUCUAGCUGCUUUGGAUUCUGCUUGUUUAUUCAUUUACGUUUGAUUUUUUCGUCCUUCCUUCCUAAUUCAGAACAACUCUAGUUUCUCUCCUCCGUUUCCUUCCUUUCCAUCCCGGUUUCCUCGCCAGGGUCUCUCCAGCCGUGCCGAAGCGGACCGUCUCCCCCCCGCACACACACACACGCACACACACGCACUCACUUUCCCCCUUUCCCUCUCCCUACACCCCCACGCCUCCCUCAGCCUCUCCAGCCCCUGCCCCUGCUCCCAGCCGAUUUCAUUUCGCACAUCUCACUCUCUGUUGUGGCUGUUCUUGUUUUGUUUUGCUCUGUUUGCGUCUGCCUGGGUGCUUUACUCUCUUCUGACUUUUGUUGUUGUUGUUUGUUUGUUUGUUUUUUUUUAUUCCCCCCUCUCC
rnacentral:lncRNA from 1 species